rnacentral:rRNA from 1 species
ACGAACGCUGGCGGCGUGCUUCACACAUGCAAGUCGCACGGAAAGGCCCUGCUUUUGUGGGGUGCUCGAGUGGCGAACGGGUGAGUAACACGUGAGUAACCUGCCCUUGACUUUGGGAUAACUUCAGGAAACUGGGGCUAAUACCGGAUAGGAGCUCCUGCUGCAUGGUGGGGGUUGGAAAGUUUCGGCGGUUGGGGAUGGACUCGCGGCUUAUCAGCUUGUUGGUGGGGUAGUGGCUUACCAAGGCUUUGACGGGUAGCCGGCCUGAGAGGGUGACCGGCCACAUUGGGACUGAGAUACGGCCCAGACUCCUACGGGAGGCAGCAGUGGGGAAUAUUGCACAAUGGGCGGAAGCCUGAUGCAGCAACGCCGCGUGCGGGAUGACGGCCUUCGGGCUGUAAACCGCUUUCGCCUGUGACGAAGCGUGAGUGACGGUAAUGGGUAAAGAAGCACCGGCUAACUACGUG